rnacentral:lncRNA from 1 species
ACUUGCAUGUUGCUGUCAACUGCAAGCCUGGAGGACUCAGAGCUGGAGAUCAGGAAGGAAAAUUUGGCCUUAGUGUGGCUCUCAAUGAGGUUAACAUCUUGGGAAUGACUGAUUCCUAUGGCUGGGUGAAGUGAAAGAAAGAAAUGCUGGAUUUCCAGGACUGACAUCACAAAUGCUCUGGCCCCAAUGCCAUCAACUCUGCCAGUCCCAUGGUCCUGCUACACUGAUGGAAAACAUCUAUGAUGCUCUAUGAAUUGAAGUGGCCAAAACUCUCUGUUGCAACCUUCAGAUUAAGUGCUGCUCAUAAAAUCUCCAAGAAAUACAAACUCUGGAGUAUGCUGCAAUGACUGAUUAACAGCUACUGUGGGCAAGGAACCGGAGACACCAUAUCCCAAAAUCUGCUGGCGCCUUUAUCAAUGCUGACCUGCUUGUAAGUGUUAACUGUCCUACUU